AGAGUUUGAUCCUGGCUCAGAAUCAACGCUGGCGGCGUGCCUAACACAUGCAAGUCGAACGAGAAAGUGGAGCAAUCCAUGAGUAAAGUGGCGACCGGGUGAGUAACACGUGACUAACCUACCUCCGAGUGGGGAAUAACUCCGGGAAACCGGGGCUAAUACCGAAUAAUCUGUUUCACCUCAUGGUGAAACACUGAAAG
rnacentral:rRNA from 1 species